CACAUUUACCAGGAUAAUUCUGGGAAAUCCCUUAUCUUUCUAUUGUGUUGCUAGUGUUUUAGUGAGUUUAAUAGUACCUGAUAGUCGGAGGGGUUUGUCCACGGGUGUCUUGAGGCCAGUGUCUGAGGGAAGUCGACGGCAGCUGUACGGACGACACAAGCUCAGCUGAUAUCCGGUUGGCUUGUGUCACUUGAUGACUGACGGGGAAAGUAUGACACCUGUCUCCAGAGACAUGGAAAGGCUCGUCAAGGGUCCGCCUAUCCCGUCACAUCACCGUGGCAACCAGCUCUCGGUGCCCUGUCCGGUCGCCCCCUCCCCCGUGUCACCGACACUUCCUGGCGAGCAAGACAAUCGCUUAUCUUGCCGCCUUCAGGUCUGUCACGUCACUGUCAGAGUUUCAACCGUGAGGGAGGCGAUGGGGAAGAUGGGAAUGUGUGAGAUGGCGUGA